CCUACGGGGGGCAGCAGUGGGGAAUAUUGGACAAUGGGCGAAAGCCUGAUCCAGCCAUGCCGCGGGUGUGAAGAAGGCCUUCGGGUUGUAAAGCACUUUCAGUGGGGAAGAAAGCCUUGGGGCUAAUACCCUCGAGGAAGGACAUCACCCACAGAAGAAGCACCGGCUAACUCCGUGCCAGCAGCCGCGGUAAUACGGAGGGUGCGAGCGUUAACCGGAAUUACUGGGCGUAAAGCGCGCGUAGGCGGUCUGAUAAGCCGGUUGUGAAAGCCCCGGGCUCAACCUGGGAACGGCAUCCGGAACUGUCAGGCUAGAGUGCAGGAGAGGAAGGUAGAAUUCCCGGUGUAGCGGUGAAAUGCGUAGAGAUCGGGAGGAAUACCAGUGGCGAAGGCGGCCUUCUGGACUGACACUGACGCUGAGGUGCGAAAGCGUGGGUAGCAAACAGGAUUAGAUACCCCUGUAGUC
rnacentral:rRNA from 1 species